rnacentral:tRNA from 1 species
GUGGCUGUGGUUCAGUGAUAGAGCACUCACCUGGCACAUGUGAGGCACUGGGUUCAAUCCUCAGCACCACA